AGGAGGAGGGGCGAGGACGCGGGAGCGCGCCCAGAGCUUGUGGAAGCCGGGCGGGAUCCGGGUGUGCUCCUGGCCCAGCUCCCGGAGGAGGAAGUGGCCUGGAGUCUGGGCCGCCACUUGCCAUCACCUCUCCUGUCGCCGCCGGGCAGGUUUCUUCCAUGUCUUGGCUACUGUAUACAGUGGUGCUAUGAAUACUGGGGUGCAGAUAUCUUUUCACAUUGGAGUUCCCUCCAGACAUAUACCCAGAAGUGGGACUGCUGGAUCAUAGGUUUGCGGAGAUGAACACACCGGCCUUCUUCUCAGUGACUUGGCUCGCCUGGAACAGAUGGCCAUGAACGUCAGCCUCACUGGCCGGCUGCCUGCUCCGCAUAACAUUCUGUAUGGUCUUGAAAGUCUGACUCAGGAACUCAAGCAACUCCGAGAACCAGGAGAAGAGUACUGUAUUAUCUGCGUUUCCUUCAGGUAGUCAGGUAAGGACACUGAGGCACAGGGAAGUUACAUGUGAGACACAGCCUCACGUGGUUACUAGGUGCAGAGCUGGGAUUUGAAAGGAGGCAGCAUAACUUCAGGGGCUGUGAGAGUGAAACUACCUUUGUGCAGCUCAGAGAGGGAAGGACCCGGGCCACCAGGGUGAGGGCUCCUUGACCCCCAGCCUGUCCAUUCAUACUCUGGCCACUGAAUCUGAGAGAGCCAUGUGAGCAGAGGCGGAGGUGCAGAUGAGCACGGCCCAUCCAGCAGGCAUUAGAAGUCAGGUCUGCUAGUGGAAGAGAAGGCUGGAGACUUGAGUGGGGCUCGGUGACAUGAAGGACAACCUUGAAAGCCAGGCAGGGGAAUCUGAGUUUAGUUUGCAGGCCCAGCAUUCAGGAUUGUGAAGAGUUCUAAUAAAGGCAAUGCUGGCCUGUUAUUUUCCUUCUACAUGGAUGGAAUACAAGGAAAGAAAAUUAAUCUAGAGGAGCAAAUACUUCAGUAGGAUGUAAAAAUUUAAAAAAAAAUCUUUCAGCUGUGAAAGAAAUACUGAAGGGCCCUCUGAAAGGAGUUCCAAUCUGUGGACGCAAGCCAGGCCAAGGGGUUCAGUCACCUAUUUCCUGAUGGCUAGGUGUUAGCCAAGAUGACCUUGAUUUGCCUUAAAUCUCAGUCUUUCUUGAUUCUGUGUUUGUGUUCUUCCAUAACUCACUGACUAUCUGGACACUUGGGAUCCCAUUUUGAUCCUCUAAAUCCCUCAGUAAGUUAUCCACCCUCUUUGUUCAGUUUCUUCAACUGUGUCAGUGCUCCCCAGGUUCCAGCCAGAGACCAGCAGGAGCACACAUGGGGUAGAACAAAGUUGGGUUUGUGAACUUGUCAUAUAAAGGGACCCUGCACACCCUGGGGUACUGGGGGUGUCUCCAUAACAGACAGUAGGAAUAACGUACAGUAUUGGUUUUAUGCUGGGGAAUUGGGGGGAAGUUUCAGGGAAGCAGGGGUUUGUGGUGGACUGGGUGCUGUCAGGAAGUGGGACCACUUCUAUAACUGAGUAUGCUAGUGAAGCUUAUCUAGAAGGAGGGAAGGGACAGGGAUAAACCCAACUUUUGGACUAAACCCAACAUUUGGAAGGAGGCAGCGGCCAGUCAUUAGCGAGGAAGUGGGAUUUGGGAUCCUUCUGUGGUCUGAACAGAGACCAGGAUUUCGUCUGUGUUUAGACAAGAUUGUGGAGUGGUCUCAUUUUUUUGUUCCAUUUGUCACUGUCACAGAGUGAUGGUGCCUAAUCUGUGAGAUGGGUUAUGUUCAGUAGGAGAAGAAAAUGGUCUUGCUGUGGGUGCCAGGCCCACUCCUUACAGCACGGAUGCCACACCAGUUAGAGCCCAGCCAGGACCCUCUGUCAGGGCUCCUGUCCGCUAAGAAAGAGGUAUGAAGCCUGUAAACUGUAACUCUGUUGACUGAAAUAGGAGCCUUAAAGAAUCAGAGUUCAUCUUGUCUCUCCCCUUCCCGGCUAUGUGAUCUUGUGUAAGUUUUUAAGUUUCUUUAAGCCACAAUUUCCUAUGUACAAAAUGAAGUAACAUUUACCUCAUAGAACUGUUGUAAGAACAAAAUGAAAACAAAAUAAAACGAAACAAAAAGACCUGGCACAUAGUAGUGUCUCAGUAAAUUACAGCAGUUUGUAUUAUUUGCCAGAUUAUCCUGCACAGUGCUGUGUGUGUAAUGCUCAGUUGAAAUAGUUUGUUUCUCUUUUCUUUGAAUGUGAGAAGUCUAAGGUCUUUGUGUGUGAAGGAGAAAUUCAUUCUGUUAAAUGUUCAAUGCCAUGAUCGCUGCAAGACCAUUUACUAAAAGGCAUGUGGAAUGAAAUCUUUUUCAGCAUAUGCUCUUGCCUCAGCGGGUCACAGAGAGGCUCAUUCAGUUGGCAGAAGGCAGUCUGAAUAUGCUGGUGACAGAAAUGAAUGAACUUCUGACCAGGCAAAAUGAUGGACAGUUCACGGUGAUCCAGCUGGUGGGCAUGCUCAGGGGCAUCGCCGCGGGCAUGAAGUACCUGGCCGAGAUGAACUAUGUGCCCCGGGACCUGGCUGCGUGGAACACUCAUCACCAGUAACCUGGUGUGCAAGGUGUCCGGCCUUUCCCGCUACCUCAGGGACGACACCUCAGACCCCACCUACACCAGCUCCUUGGUGAGCCCUUCUGGGUCUUCUCGGGUCAAAGCACGGCCUGAGUGACAGGUGGCUGCACACGGCAGGACAUACUGGGAGGGUCUGGGACCUGAAUGCACCUGUCCAAGCUGGGGAGCCAGGUGCUGGCUGGGCCAUUCAUCCAGGAGAAACAGCGGGAGCUGGCUGUCCAGGUAAGCAUUUGGGCACUGGCUGCAGCGGUGGGGUCAGGGUCUCCCCUGAAGCCAUGCUGCUCCCUGGCCAAUGCAAGAGGAUGUUUUGGAACAUGAUUUGGGGGAAUUCAAACGUCUGGACAGUGGCAUCAGAGACCUCCGCCAGCUGGGAGCGGCUCCGGCGGGGCUGAGCACUGGGGCGCCAGGCGGACUCCCGGCCCCUUCCUCCCCGCCACCCCGCCAGCAGGCAGCUGUGAGCGCCGCCUCUCAGGUCCAUGAUGCUCGCUCGGCCCAACCCCCGCCACAGCCCUGCAGUGCUAGUCGUCUGUUCACACCAUUCGAUUCAGAACGUUCACAGGCCCAAAAGAGCUCUGAUUCCCUGUCCAAUUCCCCCUCCCGGACUCUCCGGCUCAGUGGCUGCACGAUCCAGCUCAUGACUGAGCCUAGGAAGCAGUCCUGACUCCUCUCUGUGCCUCUCUUUCCAUGUCCAGUCCCUCAGCAGCUCCUGUUGGUUUCUAUAAACUCUGUCCUUUUCUUUCCAUGUCUACUGUGCCCCCACCUGAUUCCAAAGCAUCAUUCUCUGUCACCUGGGCUGUUACUGUUCGUAUUUAGUCUCCCUGCUCUCCUUUUGUCUUCUGAAGGCCAUUUCCAACAGUGGCCAAAGUGACUGGUCUUCCUACCCACAUCCCUGCCACCUAUAUUCCUUCAGCUUGCAGAGAUGAUAAAUGAUUAUUACAAAAAACACAGCAAUACAGAGAAGAGGAAAGGAGUAACUCAGAAACUACUGUUGCCCUGAAGCAGGGUGUGGUACACAUUCCCUAAAAGGCCAUAGAGUAAAAAUUUUAGGCUUUGCUGCCUAAGAGGCCAAAGGAGGCUAUGAUGUAGAUGAUUACAGAACCAGUUAAAAUGUAACCCUUUAAAAAAUGUGUGAACACCAUUCUUAGCCCGUGGGCUGUAGAAAACCAGAGGACCCCACCAGGUUUGGUACCCAGGCCGUGGUUUACCGAUCCCUGCAUUAAAGCAUCAAUUUCAGAGGUUAGAUGUGGCGGCUUUCAGAGUCUUCUCCUCAUUCAAAAAAUUGGAAAAUAUUUACUUUAUAAAAAUGGGAUCAUACUGUGCCUAUUACUCGGUGUCUUGUGUGUUUCUGGGGCAUCCUUCCUCCAGGUUGCUGCUCUGAAAUUUGUAAACCUGCACACUCCACCAGGGAGCUGUGGUGCCUGUCUUCCAGCAGCUCACCAGCAAUGGGAGGAAUCAAUAUUUAAAGAUUUGCUAAUCCAAAGAUGAAUACUGAUAACUCAUUUUGUUUUAAUUUGUAUUUUCAACUGACUGCCAGAGAUAGUACCAUCUUUUUACACAGUUCCUGGGAUUCAUGUUUCCUCUUUGGUUAAUUAUCUGUACAUGUCUUUAUUUUUCUAUUGGGUUAUUUUCUGCUUUCUUAGAAAUUGAUAAGAAUUAUUUCUGUAUUAGAGAUGUUAACUGUUUGCCUCCCUUAUUUGAUGCAAUGUGUUCUUCCAC